rnacentral:rRNA from 1 species
UGAGUACGAGAUGCUACGGCAUCGAAGCAGUCUAUGUCAUACUUCCAAGAAAAGCUUGCACUGUCAUAAACAAAGAAUGCCUGUACCAUAACCGACACAGGUGGGUAGGUAGAGUAUACUAAGGGGCGCGAGAUAACUCUCUCUAAGGAACUCGGCAAAAUGACUCCGUAACUUCGGGAGAAGGAGUGCCUUAUUUAUAAGGUUGCAAUAACAAGAUCCAAGCAACUGUUUAUCAAAAACACAGGUCUCCGCUAAGUCGUAAGACGAUGUAUGGGGGCUGACGCCUGCCCAGUGCCAGAAGGUUAAAGAAGUUGGUUAGUGUAUGCGAAGCUGAUGACUGAAGCCCUGGUGAACGGCGGCCGUAACAAUAACGGUCCUAAGGUAGCGAAAUUCCUUGUCGGGUAAGUUCCGACCCGCACGAAAGGCGUAAUGAUUUGGAUACUGUCUCGGAGAGAGGCUCGGUGAAAUAGACUUGUCUGUGAAGAUGCGGACUACCUGCACCAGGACAGAAAGACCCUAUGAAGCUUUACUGUAACUUGAAAUUGGAAUUGGACUUUGCUUGCGCAGUAUAGGUGGGAAGCGUUGAAAAUAUUCUUGCGGGAGUAUUGGAGCUAUCAGUGAGAUACCACUCUUGUAAUGUUAGAUUUCUAACUUUGAACCAUAAUCUGGUCAAAGAACAGUUUCAGGUGGGCAGUUUGACUGGGGCGGUCGCCUCCCAAAUGGUAACGGAGGCGUACAAAGGUUUCCUCUGAACGGAUAGAAAUCGUAUCUAGAGUGUAAAGGCAUAAGGAAGCUUGACUGUGAGACCUACAAGUCGAGCAGGGACGAAAGUCGGUCUUAGUGAUCUGACGGUACUGAGUGGAAAGGCCGUCACUCAACGGAUAAAAGUUACUCUAAGGAUAACAGGCUGAUCUCCCCCAAGAGUUCACAUCGACGGGGAGGUUUGGCACCUCGAUGUCGGCUCAUCGCAUCCUGGGGCGGUAGUACGUCCCAAGGGUUGGGCUGUUCGCCCAUGAAAGCGGUACGCGAGCUGGGUUCAGAACGUCGUGAGACAGUUCGGUCCAUAUCCGGUGUAGGCGCUAGAAUAUUGAGAGGAGCCUUCUUUAGUACGAGAGGACCGAGAAGGACACACCGCUGGUGUACCAGUUAUCGUGCCAACGGUAAACGCUGGGUAGCUAUGUGUGGAGUGGAUAACCGCUGAAAGCAUCUAAGUGGGAAGCCCACCUCGAGAUGAGUAUUCC